rnacentral:rRNA from 1 species
GUACACUCCUACGGGAGGCAGCAGUGGGGAAUUUUGGACAAUGGGCGAAAGCCUGAUCCAGCAAUGCCGCGUGAGUGAAGAAGGCCUUCGGGUUGUAAAGCUCUUUUGUCAGGGAAGAAACGGUGAGAGCUAAUAUCUUUUGCUAAUGACGGUACCUGAAGAAUAAGCACCGGCUAACUACGUGCCAGCAGCCGCGGUAAUACGUAGGGUGCAAGCGUUAAUCGGAAUUACUGGGCGUAAAGCGUGCGCAGGCGGUUUUGUAAGUCUGAUGUGAAAUCCCCGGGCUCAACCUGGGAAUUGCAUUGGAGACUGCAAGGCUAGAAUCUGGCAGAGGGGGGUAGAAUUCCACGUGUAGCAGUGAAAUGCGUAGAUAUGUGGAGGAACACCGAUGGCGAAGGCAGCCCCCUGGGUCAAGAUUGACGCUCAUGCACGAAAGCGUGGGGAGCAAACAGGAUUAGAAACCCGAGUAGUCCCAUGAU